rnacentral:rRNA from 1 species
AUUGAACGCUGGCGGAAUGCUUUACACAUGCAAGUCGGGCGGCAGCGCGGGGGCAACCCUGGCGGCGAGCGGCGAACGGGUGAGUAACACAUCGGAACGUACCCUGUCGUGGGGGAUAACGAAUCGAAAGAUUCGCUAAUACCGCAUACGACCUGAGGGUGAAAGCGGGGGAUCGCAAGACCUCGCGCGGGAGGAGCGGCCGAUGGCGGAUUAGCUAGUUGGUGGGGUAAAGGCCCACCAAGGCGACGAUCCGUAGCGGGUCUGAGAGGACGGCCCGCCACACUGGGACUGAGACACGGCCCAGACUCCUACGGGAGGCAGCAGUGGGGAAUUUUGGACAAUGGGGGCAACCCUGAUCCAGCCAUUCCGCGUGAGUGAAGAAGGCCU